GAGGUUGGACCAGUGCCAGUCGGGGAGAAGAAGGUGAACUUGGAGGGGAGUGAAGGGAGUGAAGCAGAGACAGUUAAGGAGUUAAUGGGGAGAUUGGAGGAAAGAGUUAGGAGAGAGCUGUUGUGUUGGUGCAUGAGGCACGACAUUCACCCUACAGAGCGUGUCCUCUCCUCUCCAUGACUCCAUAGAGUCCAUACUCGUACUGAGGUGCGAGCUAGCCGUCUGGUGAAGACUGUGCCAGCCCCACGCCCCAGGCCUCCUGUGCGCCUCACCAGCCCUGCACGUCUUGUGCUCUACGCUCCAGACAUCCAGUGCGCCUCCACAGCCCGGUUCAUCCUCCUCCAAGGACCAGGCCUCCAGCAGGUCUCCCCAGCCCGGUGAGUCCUCCUCCAAGGACCAGGCCUCCAGCAGGUCUCGCCAGCCCGGUGAGUCCUCCUCCAAGGACCAGGCCUCCAGCAGGUCUCGCCAGCCCGGUGAGUCCUCCUCCAAGGACCAGGCCUCCAGCAGGUCUCCACAGCCCGGUUCAUCCUCCUCCAAGGACCAGGCCUCCAGCAGGUCUCGCCAGCCUGGUGAGUCCUGUGCCUGCUCCACCGGCCAGUCCGGCGCCUCCAGCGACGGUCCCCAGUUCGAGGCCUGCAACGAGGGUCCCCAGUCCGGUGCCCGCAAUGAGGGUCCCCAGUUCGGGGCCGGAAAGGAAAAUGUACGCUCACCACCCUGCACCUUGGUCCUGUCAUUUCCACGACGACGUCCAUGACACAUGUCAUCAAAUCUGUCAGUGCUGCUUUGAAUCGCAUCACAAGAUGCGAUUCAUACCUCUCUGCAGCAGACAGACUGUACUGAUACCUGCAUAUACAGUACUGUGCCUUCAGACCACUUGACUUUUCCAACAUUUUGUUGUGUUACAGCCUGAAUUUAAAAUGGAUUCAUUUGAUUUUUUUUUGUUGGCACUGGCCUACACACGCUACCCAUAAAAUGAAGUGGAAUUGUAUUUUCCAUUAUUUUAUUCUGUAUUAAGAGUUUAAAGCUGAAAUCUCUUAAGUCAAUACAUAUUCAACGCCUUUGUCAUGGCAAGCCUAAGAAAGUUCAGGAGUAAUCAUUUGCUUAGUAAUUUCAAUGUUCAAAAUUGUGCACUCUCCUCAAACAAUAUCAUGGUAUUCUUUCACUGUUAUAGCUACUGUAAAUUGGACAGUGCAGUUAGAUUAACAAGAAUGUAAACUUUCUGCCAAUGUCAAAUAUGUCUAUGUCCUGGGAAAUGUUCU